GGUUCGAUGGCGUAGUUGGUUAUCGCAUCUGUCUAACACUGCGGAACACAGAAGGUCCCCGGUUCGAGCCCGGGUCGAAUCA